UACGUAGGGGGCAAGCGUUGUCCGGAUUUAUUGGGCGUAAAGAGCUCGUAGGCGGUUCGACAAGUCGGGUGUGAAAACUCCGGGCUCAACCCGGAGACGCCACCCGAUACUGUCGUGACUGGAGUCCGGUAGGGGAGUGGGGAUUCCUGGUGUAGCGGUGAGAUGCGCAGAUAUCAGGAGGAACACCGGUGGCGAAGGCGCCACUCUGGGCCGGUACUGACGCUGAGGAGCGAAAGCGUGGGUAGCAAACAGG
rnacentral:rRNA from 1 species